rnacentral:rRNA from 1 species
GAUCAUGGCUCAGGAUAAACGCUGGCGGCGCACAUAAGACAUGCAAGUCGAACGGAAGUCGUUACGAAACGGAAUGAAGAUUUAUCUGAAUGAAGUUUUGUAACAAUGGCUUUAGUGGCGGGACUGGUGAGUAACACGUAAGGCAAUCUACCUAUUAGAGGGGAAGUAACAAUAGAGAAAUACAUUGCUAAUAACCGCCAUAAGACUUGUAGUACGCCAUGGUACAGCAAGAAAAGGAAAGGCGAAUACCGCCG